GUGAUUACCAAUUCACCAACGGGGACUAAAAAAAAGAACCUAAUUUACAUUGUUAACCCAAUAAUCCAAAACGAAAUUGCUUCUUUCUUUCUCUUCUUUUCACAAGUGCCAAAAUGAUCGCCAGGCGAGUUUUACUGACCGCUGUUUUAGCUUACCUCGCCGAAUCAUUUUCCUUAAAUGUUAACAAUCAACCACCUCAAACUGACAAGUUCAGACAAAAACUGGAAAAACUUGUGAAGAAUGAGCAAACUCUUUUCGACUUCUUGGCAAAAUUUGAAAAAACACACCCAAGACAACAUUCGUCAACAGGGUUUAGAAGAACCGAGUUUUUGGACACAUUUUCAGCGGACCAAAUUCCACCAUCAGAUUUUGACAGGAAAAUGAAAAUACCAGCUGAACGAUUUGAAAACUUUGUUGACCUAGUUUCGGAUGGAUCUUUCAUCAUCUCGUCUUCUCGCCCUGAGCCCGAGUUGAAACGAAACAAGAACACCGGAGAGAAAAUUGAUACGCCCAAAAAAAAUUGCCUCAACAGAUUCCAAUGCAAGUCUUCAGUGGGCAAAUGAACUGAAAUCUGGCGUGCAAAAGUACCUUCUGGCCGACAGAGAACAAAGACGAAAGCAGCACAUGGAUGAAGCUGAAAACUAUCAAUUCAAACCACUUCACAUCAGUUUAAACCUCUGUAACUAAAUAUGCAAACAAACUGAAUUCAAGC